rnacentral:rRNA from 1 species
UACGUAGGGUGCGAGCGUUAAUCGGAAUUACUGGGCGUAAAGCGUGCGCAGGCGGUUUUGUAAGCCAGAUGUGAAAUCCCCGGGCUUAACCUGGGAAUGGCAUUUGGGACUGCAAGGCUCGAGUGCGGCAGAGGAGACUGGAAUUCCUGGUGUAGCAGUGAAAUGCGUAGAUAUCAGGAGGAACACCGAUGGCGAAGGCAGUGUUCUGGGCCAGUACUGACGCUGAGGAGCGAAAGCGUGGGGAGCAAACAGG